GUUUGUUGGAUAGCUGUGGGAACAGAGGAUACAUUUCUGCACUCGAGUUGGGAGCUACCGGUGAAGGGGCUAGACCAAGAAAUUCAGAUCACGGAAAGAAAGACAGAAUCACAGCUCCAAACCCUCCCCGCAGCUGUGUUUGCUCUGUCCAUGCUUCCUCACCUACCAUCUCAAGUACUCCUCAGACAAUGGCUCCAAGGAAAAGAUGGCAACCCGAACUGAAGAUGACAAGCUAGUUUUGAAGAGCUUGAGCAUUUGGUUUCAUGCAGCCACAUUGAGGGAUGGCACCCCUCCCACUUCCCCAUCACUACCUCUGCUGAGCAACCCAGCCUCUACCACCAGGGAGCAAGAUGAUGAGAAGGGUCAGGGGAGUAUCACGUCAGACGGAAACCCUGAGACUCAUCGUCCUUAGAUCAUCCAAUGAAAAUACAAUGCCAUCUUCCAGAAAACAGUCCUGGUCUGCAGCUCACCAAUGUCCAGUUCUGCUGGAGUCUGCUUCCAGCUCAGAACAAAACUCCUGCCUUUACCAAAACCAACUUCCAUGAAGGCAAGGACAGCAGCAGGAUGCAGACCUUCCACUCAACGACCCCAGCAACCCUGGAGGGGCAGUGGCAAGCUUGUGGCUGCUGGCCAGCUGGACCACGAGCAGUGUCAUUUAUUGGGAGUCAUUAGCAGCCCUGACUUGGCUGAGGUGUCUACCCCAGCCCAAUGGCUCUGACAGCAAGUUUGUGAUCCCAAAGGCCCCUUGCAGU